AGUGAACGCUGGCGGCGUGCUUAACACAUGCAAGUCGAACGAGAACGGAUUAUAGCUUGCUAUAAUUGUCAGCUAAGUGGCGCACGGGUGAGUAAUGUAUAGGUAAUAUGCCUCUUACUGAGGGAUAACAAAUGGAAACGUUUGCUAAUACCUUAUACUCCUUAUUAACAGAAGUUAAUAAGGGAAAGAUUUAUUGGUAAGAGAUUAGCCUGUAUUGUAUCAGUUAGUUGGUGGGGUAAUGGUUUACCAAGACGAUGACACAUAACUGGUUUGAGAAGAUGAUCAGUCACACUGGAACUGAGACACGGUCCAGACUCCUACGGGAGGCAGCAGAGGGGAAUAUUGCACAAUGGACGAAAGUCUGAUGCAGCAACGCCGCGUGGAGGAUGACACAUUUCGGUGCGUAAACUCCUUUUAUAUGAGAAGAUAAUGACGGUAUUAUAUGAAUAAGCACCGGCUAACUCCGUGCCAGCCGCCGCAGUAA
rnacentral:rRNA from 1 species